GUGCCAGCAGCCGCGGUAAUACGUAGGGUGCAGGCGUUAAUCGGAAUUACUGGGCGUAAAGCGUGCGCAGGCGGUCUAUUAAGACAGGUGUGAAAUCCCCGGGCUUAACCUGGGAACUGCGCUUGUAACUGAUAGGCUUGAGUGUGGCAGAGGGGGGUGGAAUUCCAGGUGUAGCAGUGAAAUGCGUAGAUAUCUGGAGGAACACCGAUGGCGAAGGCAGCCCCCUGGGCUAACACUGACGCUCAUGCACGAAAGCGUGGGGAGCAAACAGGAUUAGAUACCCCAGUAGUCC
rnacentral:rRNA from 1 species